UUUGUCGUUCUUUGUUGCUAUACCCUAUCCGACACCCUUUAUAGUAUUAUAUCUUCUAUCACUUUUUUCUUUAAUCCACAAAUGUCCAUCUAUACUUUUUUUAUGUCCAGGGAACGAAUAAUCCAACACAGAUGGAAACCCAAUAAUAAAAAUAUGUCAAGCCUUUUUAUUUUUCAAAAUUAACUGAAAAAAUGAUAAUUAUCAAUUGCAACUGGUGAAGAAUAUUGUUAUGUUUUAAUUAAGUCUGAAAAGCAAAAGAAUAAUAAUAUUCUUAUUGAUGAUGCAAAGUUGAGUAACAAACUAGAUCAGAAUAUGGAGAUAGAAGAACGAGAUGACGAAGACGAAGACGGCGACAAAGUGAGCAAAGUACUGUACUCUCUUCUUGUUCCUUGAUGAGAAGAGAGAUGCAUGAAAAGGCAAGUCAUGAAGGCAAAGGGAAGGUAACGCCUUUCUUCCAGGAUCAGUUUAUGGAACUGUAAUUCAACUAGUUUAUAUAGUUAUAUGUUAUGGCACACAUGAAUUGUACUUUAUUUUCAAAUAAAUACUUGUGUGUGUGUUUUUUUUUUUUUUAGUUUUAAGACAGGAAGUGUUAAGUGUGUAUUUUGAUUUAUUUAUGGUGAUAAAAACUGAUAAUUUAUGUUAUGCUUUCAUGUAAUUUGGAGGAA